AAUACAAAUUUUGUAUCAAAUAUUUUUUUAAAGAAUUGUUUCUAUGCUAUUCCUUUUCCUUGACUUGAAAAUGCCAUGUUUAUGGAAGAAACUUGAGCUUUUUGUCCAAUACUUAAUUACGUGAAUUAAAAUAUGUAAAUAGCAUUUUUUCUUCCAUUAGAAAAAAGAAAAUAUUAAUUUUAGGGGCCUGGUAUUUCCCUUUAAGCAUAGGCAGUUAUUUUAUGUAUUUAUGACUAUGCUUUAUUCUGUUAGCUCACUAUAAACAGAAAAAUCCAUGUCUUUGACUUUUUAACAUUUUUGCAUUUAAAGAGAUGUACCGAGAAGGAUGAAAUGAUUAAACCAUCACCUGCUUGACACAAAAAGUAGAGCAUCCUACUGCUUCGGUAUUUCAUACUGUACCUGUCUCAUUUCAACCAUUCCUCCACCACCAUGAUGGGACACAUGCAUAUUUUAGAAGAAUGCAUUGGUCUCACCUUUGAAAUGGCUCACAAAAAAUCACUGCAUUUACAAUUUGGAAAAUGUGUUUUCCAAGAAGCAAUACUCUAAAAUUUAGUGAUUAAGUAGUUACUAUUCAGUUAAUGCAACUGAAAAAUGAAUUGGGUUGGCAGAAAAAAUUUUAUCACUGUUUUCUCUGAUAAAAUAUACUGUACAUCCCAUCCUUGCUAUAAGGGCUCUCCAGAGAGCUCACAUGUGGCCUUUACAGUGGACACCAGCUGCUUAUAAAUAUGAGUGAACCAUAGACAAUGAAGGCCUCAUGGGUAAUACACUGAGAAUUCCCUUGGAUCUUACCAUUUUUAUUUCAUAAUAUUAGAAAUAUGAUUACUUUCCUAUUUAUUUUUGACAUUAUUUGCACAAAGUUAUUAGGACCACACCUGUUAUUUUACCUUUUGCAUAUUUUGAAUCCAUUUCAACCUGUAAUGAUGUAGCUGACAAGAAUUAGGUUCAGCUGAAGAUACAUCUGCUUUUCAGUUUACACAGUGGUAUAUCCAGUUGCCACAACAAAACAUUUUUUAGAUAAAAGUAUUUCUACAUAAGUAAAUAUAUAGAUGAUAUCUCAGCCGUGACAUUUUGUAAUUCAAUCAUGUGUAAAGUCAUUUUCAUUCUGUCAGAAAUGAGUGCAAAGAGCACCAGAGUAGUAGAGU
rnacentral:lncRNA from 1 species